GGGGAAAGGCGAGCGCUGGCAGCCAGACCUGCCCGCGGUGCCCGUGGCUCUGCAUCCCUCGGGGAUGGAAUUCCUUCGGUGUAAAGCAGCAGCCAGGGCUGUUUCCAGGGAAAGGGGGCCAAGAGUUAACUGCCAGCAAAGUCUGACAGCGCUGAUUCAUCUUUAUUUGAAAAGCUGCCUCUGCCAAUGCAAAGGAUGCUGACUCCGGGAGCUCUGCACGAAUCCGCCGCCCGUGAGUCAUCGGAGCUUUUUUUGGGAAGUCUGCUGGGAAGAAACGUGUUGGGAAAACACGCGGUGACCCAGGUGGGAAUGAGAAACUGUCAGAUUGCAGCAGCAGAAAGGCCAGGGCGGAGAAUGAGAGGUACCUGCAGGUACAAGCAGUCCCGGGGGACUCAGGGCUGACCGCAGCCUCUUCCUGCAGCCCACGGAGGCAGAGAGGGGCCGGGAACACCUGGAAAAUUCCCAGCAGCAGGAAUUGAAGGCACGUCUCAUGGUCUGUGCUGCUGCAGCAGCUCCUGGGGCAGCACAGGGCGAGCCCCGAGCCGGGAGCUGUCCACAAAAUCCAGCCGGGUCGGCGUGUUGUGUUUACUCCCUCAGAUAUUACAUCGAUUUAAGGAACAAAUAUUUGACAGUGAGGGGGGAGAAGCCCUGCACAGGCUGCCCAGAGAAGCUGUGGUGCCCCAUCCCUGUAAACAUUCAAGGUCAGGCUGGAUGGGGCUCUGAGCAAUCUGUGAGCUUGGAGAUGUCCCUGCUCAUGGCAGGAGGUUGGACUAGAUGCCCUUUAAAGCAUCCUUUAGCUUGUCUAGGAUUCUAUGAUUUAUAUGAUUUUAGGCUCAGAUUAUCUUUGGCAGAAUCCAAACAAACAGACCGGAGACUACUUUGCAUGUUUAUUUCACAAAAGACACAGGAACAAUUUCUUCCCUCUCACAAACAAGAGAUUCAACCUGACCUCCCUGCCUGCCAUGUGGAGGAAAGCAAAUAUUGGGCCAUUUGGUCCAUAUAUCUUCAACAUUCAGCAAAACUUCUCCAACUUCAAGACUUCAGGGGUUUUGGUGCUGCAGAUGAACUCACAGAUGUAUUUUUCCUUCUCCCCAAUUCCACUGUGCAUUGGGAGAGUGCACGGGAGGUUCCAAACCACCAAAACAACCCAAUAACCUCAGAAAAGAAAUACCAACUCUGAAAGGACUCUGUCAGUUGGUGCUGGGCCCAAAGAGAAGCUGAAGCCAGAUACAGAAUCUGCCAGGACAGAGUACUACAGGAUUUCCCUUGAAGGUCAAAUUAAGAAACAUUCCUGAAUCAAUACACCCCAGGCAGCUGCAAAGCCUGAUAUGAACCAAAUGUAGCCCAGCAUGAAACUGUCCCCGAGCCCAGCAGGUGUCAGUGCCCCUCCUCUUCCUCCCUGGGGAAUGAGUGAUGCUUGUCUGUGAGCAGCAGGGCAGAACUUGCUCCGCUGUCACUUCCAGUCCCUUGCACCAGGAGACUCAGCACUAUUUCUGUCAGUGCCCACGGGGCUGGAGCAUCCCUGGUGUGUCACAGCUCUGCAGCAGCUCCUGAGCAGUGACCUUGGCUGGGUGUGAGCCAGGGCAAGCUCAAAGGCUGCACUGCUCACAGCCCAGGAGAAUGUUACUCGGCAGUGCUGGAUGUGCAGCUCUGUUUGUGCCUCAGAUGAGCUCGGACAGGAUGGAUGUCACCAUCACGUUUUCUGAAAAAACCCUUUACCCAGGAUUCUUCACCUGGGAAGCUGAGAGGCCUCAGGGAAAAAGGAAAAUGAUAUUAUCUGAUUUGCUUCUCCUGUGUUUUUCUGCUUUGGAAUGUGGUUGGAGAUUGUUUACCCACAGGUGAUUGUUUCAUUGGAUUCAUGUGAAUUGUUUUGACUUAAUGACCAAUCAGGGACAAGCUGUGUUGGAACUCUGGAGAGGGAGUAAUGAGAUUCAUUAUCAUUCUUUGUAGCCUUCUGUCUCUAUCUUUUCUGUAUUCUUUAGUAUAGUUUUAGUAUAGCAUAAUAUAAUAUAAUAUAAUAUAAUAUAAUAUAAUAUAAUAUAAUAUAAUAUAAUAUAAUAUAAUAUAAUAUAAUAUAAUAUAAUUAAUAUAAUAUAAUAUAAUAUGUCUUCUAAGAACAUGGAGUCAGAUUCAUGAAUUCCUCCUUCGUCCUGGGGACCCAGCAAAUACCAGAGAUGGACCCGUGUCCUCUGUGUCCCCUCCUGAGCACACACAGCUCUCUGUGUCCCACAUGGAAGAGCAUUUACAACCAGCACUGGCACCAGGGACUGAAGCACCCCUGGCUUUGCUAACUGGGACUUUGGGAGGGGAUCCAGCCACCAGCAGUGUCGUGUCCUCUGCAUCCUCCUGCCAGCACCACACACAGAGCUGAACAGCCUCCAGGCAGCAGCUUCAGGAUGAGAAAGUGAUCCUCCUUAUCUGCCUUUGGAUGUAGCCUUCUCCCAAAAAAGCCACAGCUCUUAUGAAAAGGAGUAAUUAGUGCUGCUUCAUGUGACAGCACAGACAGAAGACUGGAGGCAUGCAGCUAUUUAAAGAAUAUUUCUCAAGGUUCUCAUGCAGGGACAGAAUGACAGUUCAGCACAAUCAGAUCCCUUCAAACUCACCUGAAACUGGGUGGCAUUUCCUGAAAGCCAAACAGGCUGUGACACUGCCAGAGGAGCCUGGCUGCCUGUCAGG